GUACACGCUGUGACUAGCAUAUCAAUAAGCGGAGGAAAAGAAACUAACAAGGAUUCCCCUAGUAACGGCGAGUGAAGCGGGAAGAGCUCAAAUUUGAAAUCUUAAAGGGUUUCCCUUUACGAAUUGUAGUUUAAAGAAGUGUUUUCUGUUGAGGUUUUGGUAAAAGUUCUUUGGAAUAGGACAUCAUAGAGGGUGAGAAUCCCGUAUUUGACCUUUACUUUCAACUUUGUGAUACACUUUCAAAGAGUCGGAUUGUCUGGGAAUGCAGUCCAAAAUGGGUGGUAAAUUUCAUCUAAAGCUAAAUAUUGGCGAGAGACCGAUAGCGAACAAGUACCGUGAGGGAAAGAUGAAAAGAACUUUGAAAAGAGAGUUAAACAGUACGUGAAAUUGUCAAAAGGGAAGCGUUUGACACCAGUGUUGUUUUUCUGAAAAUCAAUUAAAGAACUGUUUAUGCUAAGCUGUUUAGACUUUAUCAGCUAAUCUGUUUAGUUUUGAGCUUUUCUUUAAUGCACUUUUCAGUUAACAAGUCAACAUCAAUUUCUUUUGCUGUAAAAAAGCUUGAGGAAGGUGGCUUGAGAUUCGUCUUAAGUGUUUAUAGCCUCUUGCCUAUGCAGUCGGAGAGAUUGAGGUCUGCAGCGUAGAUCCUUCGGGGCUAAAUGCAUUUGUGCUAAGUUAUAGCAUUUUAUAGACAACUUGUUGACUAUGAUUUGUCUUGUAGCUUACUCGCUUAUGUUAUUUUACCUACGCUUAGGAUGUUGAGUCGUAGAGCACGCAG
rnacentral:rRNA from 1 species